UAGAUAUGAAGAGUCUCAACCAUAGUAUAAAAUGCUCCUCAUAAAUUCAAACGAAUUUUACGUGACUGACUCCUGCCACUGAGCAACACAACAGAAAAGGCUGCUUUUUCUCCCCUCAGUACUGCUAUUGGACUUUCUCAUACCAAAUAUCUGUGAAUUUUGGUGCUUUGGGAAAGAUACUGGGAGUGUCAGAAGCAUCAUUUGAUGCCUGAUAUCAGCCCCAUUCCUUAAAUGUAUUCAAAAUGAGGAUUAUUUAGUGCAGGUCUGAGAUGAGGCACAGAGGCCUGGCCAGGAGGCAGCGGUGCCAUGCUAGAGGCUGCAGCUGCCAUGUUUUACCUCAGCAGCUGCCAGGCAGGCCAACAGCCCAGAGCACUGAGGGGAACCACCUGACCUCCAUUUUCUGUGCCCUGUCACCCACCCCUGCCCCAGCUCUCUGCAUUUACUCAUCAGUGUAAUUUAUUAUCCACAGCUGCCUUCACUGAUGAAUUUUCCAUUUCCCCCUGCUCUGGCUUGGCUAACACUCUCCAUUCUGCUCUCAGAGCUCCUGUGAGAAAAGGGGGUAGAAGCCGUGGCUCAUGGUAGUUCCUGCUCUGGGCCCUCCUCAGGUGUGAGGGCUCAUGAUGUUCACCUGUACAACCUGCUCUGAUCAUGGCUUCAAAUGCUUUGCCUUCAUAGAGCAACAGGCUUACAUCGCGGUCAGAGGUGGAACAUGUUGACGCUGUCAGUAAGGGCCAAGAUGAAUGCUGAUGGCGAUGGCUAAAGGCAGUACAGCAGCACGUAACUGAACGACUGGUCUGAACAAGAGGGUAACACGGACAUGCUGAGGAGGCAGCAGCUCAAAGCAGCAUGGCGUCCGGACAACUGGGAUGUGAAUGAGGAGUGAACAUGGUGGUGUAGCUGCACGUCAUGGGUACAUGAUGCGGAGAUGGCUAUGAAAAAUACUCACUUGUUCACCUGGUUCUGCCUCCUUUUGGCUUCUGCACCCCUUUGGUGCACAGCAGGGAAGUAGGUAUUUGUGUGUGGUGGGAGGUGUGACGCUAACAGACACAGGCACUUUAUCAAUGCACAACUGUAUCAGACGGGUGUUGAGUAGACCGAUGGACAACCAAUACAAAUGGUUCAUUAAACAAUUAACGAGCUCAGGCGCAGCUCCCGGCCUUGUUGAUGCCGAUGGAAGCUUUGCACUUAUUGAGCAGGGAAGGAAGGGGCAGCAUUUGAUGUUGGCUUCUAAUUGUUUGUCAAUCACUUGGGAUAAAGUUAGAAACGGUACGUUGAAGAGCAUCCUUUUCCCUUGACGAUUCCUUCGUGGACAUCAGGGUUUGCAAGGAGCAAGAUGCGGUGUUCAAGGGGGAGAUUUGGGGCAUGAACACCACCAGUGCUUGAUGUUUUGUACCGAGUUGAGGUACCUCAGCUAAUGGCUGUGUGCCCAAUGCCCUGUGGAGCUUCUAUUGAUGACCAAGCCCUGGUGCCAGCCCCCGGCCCCAC